rnacentral:rRNA from 1 species
UACGUAGGGGGCAAGCGUUGUCCGGAAUCAUUGGGCGUAAAGAGCGUGUAGGCGGCCCGAUAAGUCCGCUGUGAAAGUCCAGGGCUCAACCCUGGAAUGCCGGUGGAUACUGUCGGGCUCGAAUCCGGAAGAGGUGAGUGGAAUUCCUGGUGUAGCGGUGAAAUGCGCAGAUAUCAGGAGGAACACCAGUGGCGAAGGCGGCUUUCUGGACGGUAACUGACGCUGAGACGCGAAAGCGUGGGGAGCAAACAGG